rnacentral:ncRNA from 1 species
GUAUUCUUGCGCCCAUGAACUGCAUCCUGUCCGCCCUUCGACGUCGCCGCUCGCCCCUCUCCCAGGGCCUGGCUUAGUUCGAGGACGCGCGUUGUACAUGGGUUACCCCCGGGUUGAACCCCAACGCACAGGUAGUUCGAAUCACGAAAGCCACGGCCAGUCCGUGGCUUUUUG